GACAGCAGUCGCCGCGGGAAUACGAAGGGGGCUAGCGUUGUUCGGAAUUACUGGGCGUAAAGCGCACGUAGGCGGAUACUUAAGUCAGGGGUGAAAUCCCGGGGCUCAACCCCGGAACUGCCUUUGAUACUGGGUAUCUCGAGUCCGGAAGAGGUGAGUGGAAUUCCGAGUGUAGAGGUGAAAUUCGUAGAUAUUCGGAGGAACACCAGUGGCGAAGGCGGCUCACUGGUCCAUUACUGACGCUGAGGUGCGAAAGCGUGGGGAGCAAACAGGAUUAGAUACCCCCGUAGUCCCUGUCUCUUAUAC
rnacentral:rRNA from 1 species